UAAUUGAAGAGUUUGAUCAUGGCUCAGAUUGAACGCUGGCGGCAGGCCUAACACAUGCAAGUCGAGCGGAAACGAAG
rnacentral:rRNA from 1 species